rnacentral:piRNA from 1 species
UGCUUAUGAGGUCUUGAGUUCCUUGGCAA